GUUGUGUUUCAUGUAGCACUCCCGCUGCAGCUGGAAGACCAUUUCCUUUAUGGCCAGGCAUUUUCGGCUGAUGCAGCUGAACUUGUGCCUCAAGCCGUGAGCCAUGCACUUCAGUGCAUCCUUGAUGAAGGACUUGCCCUACACACAUCUUGAUACCGUGCUACAAGCUUGAAACCCUCUGCUUCAAAUCCACCUGCACCUUGUGAAACAUGAGCCAGGAUGGAGGCGAUGCCAGAUGGCCCAGGCCGGUCGCUGGGUCAUCCUCUGGACGCAUCUGAGGGAUAUGAACCCCGUGGGAGAACUGGGGCAACUAUGUGCUUACCUGCGAGUCGAAUUUGCCAGCAUUGUGCAGGAAGUUCAUGCAGAUUUCCUGAAGGCCCCGGAUUUCGCAGGAGUUGUUCUCGAAACACUCGAAGACACCGCAGCCCACGUCUCCUGCGCUCACGAGGCAGUGCUGGAUCUCAGCUGCGGAGGAUAGAAAGACAGAGAAUGCUGUUUAAAGCUAAAUAAAGACUUUGCAACACUCGA